UAGGGAAUAUUGGACAAUGGGGGGAACCCUGAUCCAGCCAUGCCGCGUGGAGGAAGACUGCCCUCUGGGUUGUAAACUCCUUUUAUAUGGGAAGAACCGUCCUCAUUGAUGAGUGACCUGACGGUACCAUAGGAAUAAGCACCGGCUAACUCCGUGCCAGCAGCCGCGGUAAUACGGAGGGUGCAAGCGUUAUCCGGAUUCACUGGGUUUAAAGGGUGCGUAGGCGGAUAUGUAAGUCAGUGGUGAAAUCAACGGGCUCAACCUGUUAACUGACAUUGAUACUGUGUAUCUUGAAUAUGAGAGAGGGUGGCGGAAUGUUGCAUGUAGCGGUGAAAUGCUUAGAUAUGCUACGGAACACCGAUUGCGAAGGCAGCUUACUAUUUCGUAAUUGACGCUGAGGCACGAAAGCGUGGGUAGCGAACA
rnacentral:rRNA from 1 species